UUUUUUUUCUUCAAUUCUAUGUUUAAUAUCCAUCUACCUGGAAACUUCACAUUCCAGGCCUGCCUUCCGGGAACAACAGGGCGAGGGUGGAAAAAGAGGGUUGCCUCCAGGAGAAGCACGUUUUCCUGGGGUUGGAACUGGGGAGAAGCAGGGCCGGCACGAGGAGGGAGGUGGUGGGCGAUGGCGCCUUCGGACAGGGGUGGGGUCUGCAGGAUCCCAGGACCAGGCAGAGGACGCGGCCUUCCCGGGAGUGGGGCUGCAGCGCUGCCCUCCAGGCGCCGAUGAGGAGCCCAGGGCGAGAGUCCAACUCGCUGGUGAGGACCUGAAACAGCGCGAGGCGGGAGGACGGGUCGGGAAGGGUUUUGAGAAGGAAAGUUUCGCUACAGGAGGUGUCUGCACGGCCCUACUGCAGAAAAGACCGGGACGGGACCAGCCUCAGGGCGACUUUAAACUCAAAAGGAAAAGACUCACGGACUCCCACCCGGACGUCUCAAUUUGCUCUGAGUUGAGAAAGAGGGGCCGGAAUUUCCAGCAUCACGUCUCUGUAUAGAGUCCUCUGAGCAGGGUCCAGGCAUUUCCACUCCUCCUGAGAGAAUUCUAUGGCCACAUCCCUGAAUGUCAGUAGACCCUGAAAGGAAAA
ensembl:lncRNA novel transcript, antisense to ZNF701